GACGAACGCUGGCGGCGUGCUUAACACAUGCAAGUCGAGCGGUAAGGCCUUUCGGGGUCCACGAGCGGCGAGCGGGUGAGUAACACGUGGGUGAUCUGCCCUGCACUUCGGGAUAAGCCUGGGAAACUGGGUCUAAUACCGGAUAUGACCUCCUAUCGCAUGGUGGGUGGUGGAAAGAUUUAUCGGUGCAGGAUGGGCCCGCGGCCUAUCAGCUUGUUGGUGGGGUAAUGGCCUACCAAGGCGACGACGGGUAGCCGACCUGAGAGGGUGACCGGCCACACUGGGACUGAGACACGGCCCAGACUCCUACGGGAGGCAGCAGUGGGGAAUAUUGCACAAUGGGCGAAAGCCUGAUGCAGCGACGCCGCGUGAGGGAUGACGGCCUUCGGGUUGUAAACCUCUUUCAGCAGGGACGAAGCGCAAGUGACGGUACCUGCAGAAGAAGCACCGGCUAACUACGUG
rnacentral:rRNA from 1 species